rnacentral:rRNA from 1 species
GACGAACGCUGGCGGCGUGCCUAAUACAUGCAAGUCGAGCGAAGUUUUUCUGGUGCUUGCACCGGAAAAACUUAGCGGCGAACGGGUGAGUAACACGUAAAGAACCUGCCUCAUAGACUGGGACAACUAUUGGAAACGAUAGCUAAUACCGGAUAACAGCAUUAACUGCAUGGUUGAUGUUUAAAAGUUGGUUUUGCUAACACUAUGAGAUGUCUUUGCGGUGCAUUAGCUAGUUGGUGGGGUAAAGGCCUACCAAGGCGACGAUGCAUAGCCGACCUGAGAGGGUGAUCGGCCACACUGGAACUGAGACACGGCCCAGACUCCUACGGGAGGCAGCAGUAGGGAAUCUUCCGCAAUGGGCGAAAGCCUGACGGAGCAACGCCGCGUGAGUGAAGAAGGAUUUCGGUUCGUAAAGCUCUGUUGUUAGGGAAGAAUGAUUGUGUAGUAACUACACACCGUAGAGACGGUACCUAACCAGAAAGCCACGGCUAACUACGUG